CCAUGAUGGCUCCGUCUCAUUCUGUCACAGAUCGUCUUUAUAAGCCAGACAUGUCAGUGCUAUAAACUGAUGAGACACCCACAGAAUUUAACAGAAAUCGAAGGUGUGGAAAGGAUCUCAGACAAGCGAAUCCAUCACUGUUACUGUACAGAUAAGAAAUGGAGGCCAAAUAGGAUUAGCAACUUGCUCAGGACUCCACAGAAAGAGCAGCAACUGGAUGGCACAGAAUGAGUUCUGACGUUUACAUCAGAAGAUGGCCCUGAACCGGAGCCAAAGCUGGCCGAGGAGCUGGGGGAGAUUCUGAGACUCACACUUUCAUUUGUGAAGUGAGAUGCUGACUCUAUUGUUGGUUUUGUUUGGGGGUUUGAUGCUCAAAUAAAGCAAUACACACGAGGAAAUUUGCUGACAUUGUAUUAAAAAACAAAGUUAAUGUAUGAUGAUGCCGUAGAGUGAUUCAUGAAUGGCAUUAUGAAUAUUUUAAAAACACAAAAGGAAUUAAAAGAGUAUACUUGGAUGUUAAUGAAAAUAAAAUUUCAUUGAGAACAAGAAUCUUGGUAAACAUCAGUUGAUAUUAAAAGUUUAUUGCUUUUAAAGGAGUCUGAAAUGUUCUUUUGUCAAGGUUAAUGCAUUAAAAUGGAUUAAAAUCUAGACAACACAAAUUUUAAUGUGUGAUUAUUUUAUAAGCUCUAGGUUGAAAUAAUUUUUAUCUACAUGGGAAAACUGAAUAGAUUAUAAAAAAUUGUUUAAAAGAAAAAUUUCAGAUGUCAAAUAUGUGGGAAACUUAAUGUCAUUUUAUUAACUAGAGAUAGAAAAUGAGGUACAUUAGUCUUAGAGAGUAUUUAGAGCAGUUAAUUGCUAAGUCACCAAAACAAUCUAUUCUACAAUGACCUUACUUUUAAAGUAGUUCCAUGGCAUGAACUCAAGGACAUUACUGCAGCAAGGUUCUUAACAAAUCAGUCAUAUUCAUUGCAUUUAAUAAUCUAUUAGGGGCCUUCACUAGAGCGAACAACCAGCAUUUCUUUUAAACUCUUCCAUAAUUCAGAUUUUAUCAAUGUGGACUAACCCUGUGGUCAAUUAAAUCUGAAGUAGUGCAGUUUUUAUGUUUUCUGAAUAUAUUGGGCCUGAAAGCAAAUAUUAUUUUAUGAUAUGUUAAUAACACAAGGAAUUUUACCAGUAAUAUUUAGUGGAGCAUAAAGGUACCUAAGGCUCUGUCUAUUUGCACAGUAGUAGAACGGAUUUAAGAAUGAUUCCAACCAUAACUCUUAGUCAAACACAUUAGCACAGUCCAUUUACAUAGUAGAAUGCUCAGUACAGACCUAAGAAUAUUCUUUAAAGUUACAGUUGGAAUAUUUCUCCAAAAUGUCCUUAUAAAUGUGUAUACAUGCCAAGUCUGAAGUACGAAUUACAAAUUAUAAUGUGGCUCUAAUUUGUUAUCAUCUGAAAAAAAAAAUCUAAUUUGUAACAGAAGCAAAGUUUUGUUUCAAUCUAAACUCCUGAGGACCAAUUCAAAAGAAUGAGAAGCUUAUUGUUUCCCUGAAAUUAUUGACCAUACAUUUUAAAACAUCAAAAUAUUCUGAAAAAUGUCUGUAGUGGUCUCAACAUCUUAUUUAGUUUAGAAUCUUGGCAGACAAGCAUAAGUGCCAAAAUGUUCCAGAUGACCAGUUAGAAUGCAGGGGAUCCAUAGAAUUACUCUCAAUGAUGCAAAGUACAAAUAAAUCCCUACAAAAUAAAAAGAAAUUUAUUCCUUUUAUUUGUAGCUUAUGGAUACCUGAAUGCUGUUUUACUUUGCUUCCUAGUUUCUUUUUCCUUGUGUAACUUCAUACAGUCAGAAUAUGAACUCAUUUUCUAUUUUCUGUGUGAUUCUUUCAUUAAGAUCAAGAUCUCUCUUUUUUUUGUUCAAAACUUGCAUGCUGCUAUCCAUAGUUAAGCAAUUGAUAAAUGUAACUUUUACAAGAUUAUUAUAGUAUCAAAAAUGUAAAUCAA